GCAGAACGCGAAGAACCUUACCAGCCCUUGACAUGGACACCGCCGGGAGCGGAGACGUUCCCUUCGGUUCGGCCGGGUGUCACACAGGUGCUGCAUGGCUGUCGUCAGCUCGUGUCGUGAGAUGUUGGGUUAAGUCCCGCAACGAGCGCAACCCUCGCCCUUAGUUGCCAUCAUUGAGGUUGGGCACUCGUAGGGGAACUGCCGGUGACAAGCCGGAGGAAGGCGGGGAUGACGUCAAGUCCUCAUGGCCCUUACGGGCUGGGCUACACACGUGCUACAAUGGCGGUGACAGUGGGCAGCGAUCCCGCGAGGGUGAGCUAAUCCCCAAAAGCCGUCUCAGUUCGGAUUGCACUCUGCAACUCGGGUGCAUGAAGGCGGAAUCGCUAGUAAUCGCGGAUCAGCACGCCGCGGUGAAUACGUUCCCGGGUCUUGUACACACCG
rnacentral:rRNA from 1 species